CUGAAUUGGGGAAAUGACUGUCAUACCCUUUUUUUAUCUUCUUCUCCUAUUUUGUUUUCCUCCUCCUCCUCCUCUUCUUUAUGUGUGUGUGUGUGUAUAGAUUGGCCAAACAAUUUUUGUUAAGAAGCAAAUUUCAAUAAACCGCUUAUUAUUAAUUAAGCCACAUAUAAUCAAGAUAUUAGACCAAGUUCCCCUAUUCUGCAAGUAAUGUCUGCUUUUAACUUAAGUUUUAAUUAACCAUUCAUUGGAUAUACAUACAAAUGUUUACAUAUGUACAGAUUUAGAAUUCAUGUUAACACAGAUUUCUGUUAAUAAUUGUUUAAAUAGGUUUGGGGAUACAAUAUUCAAGCCCACAAAAUUUUUGUGAUGAAGAAUAGGGGAAGGAUUGGCCCACCACCUGUCACCACCAAUAAUGUUGUCAUUCAUUUUACAGAUUGACAAGAGGACCACAAAAAGCUUUUGGUGGAGCAAUAAUUGAGCAAUUUAUUCUGGUGUUUUGCUACUUUAGACCACAGUGUUGCAUCACAACCAGGUAUAUUCUUCUGGUAAUGCCCAUUUGAUAUGACAUCUUACAUGAUCUAUUUAAAUGUGUUGCCAGGAUUUAUCAAGUGGUGCAAUUUGUGCACAUAUAUCUAUCACGACAUCACAUGGUACUCAAAUUUAGUCUUUAUAAAAAGUACUUUCUCCAUAUGAACUCCUAAUAGCAGCCAAUCCUUGUCAUGAACAAUUGUUUUUUAUGAUAUUUUUAUAAGGUGAUUUUAAUUAUAAGAUUUUUCUUAUUCUUAUAAAGAUAGGAAAAGAAAAAGAAAAGAAAAAAGUUGUUGGAAAUUUGGAAUUCAUAGACUGAGAAAGUCACUUGCCUCGUGCUAGAAUCUUGUACAUUUUUCUAUUUCUCACGCUACAGUAAAGUAAUCAUCUGAAAAAGUUGUUGGAAUACAAUAUAGAUUCAGAAAGUCAUUUGUAAAUUUUAAUACUGAAAAGAAAAGGGGAAUUAUUAAGCAAAGUAUGAUUGGUGGUCUUUUGCUUGUUGCAUCUAGAUAUUUUUAUGAUGUGGUUCAUUUAUGUGUUUAAAUUCUCUAUUGAACACCAGUGUUAGAAAGCUACAAGCACAAAAUUAGGCCACAAAAGCGGAUGUGGCCACUGGCCAAACACGUCCUCAACUUGGCUCACUCAAGUUACUAAAUAUCGGUCGAUAUGUAUCUGGAUUUUGACAUUCUAAUAUGAAUAUUUUAGUAAAUGUCAACUCAUACUGUCUAAUAUAGGCCGAUACAUAAUCAUAUCACCGAUACAGUUAUUGAUAUCAGCCGAUAUGUAUCUGGAUUUUGGUAUUACGGUACGGAUAUUUUAGUAAAUGUCAACCGAGACGGUCUGAUAUAGGCCAAUACAGGACUAUAUCACCGAUAUAGUUACUGAUACUGCGAUUUAGGUUUCCCACUUAACCAAUGCUAUAAUUGAAAAAAAGAAGAAAAAAAAGAAACGUAAAAGAAUACUGGCAAUGUUAUUAUGUCUAGAAGUUCACUCAAAGAGAGAGAACACAAGAAAUUCCCAUCUCCAUAGCAGAACCUAUUUCUACGGUGGCAUAUAUACACUACGUUUUAUAGCAAUGUUUUUUGAGUUGACAACUCUCUAGAGAUUCUAAAAAAUAAAAAUGCCAUUGGACUUUGUUUUUAGACCUCUCCUCGAUCUCAUAAGAAAGAAAUGCUAAAUAACGAACUAAAAAUAAAACAACUACGUGUUCCAAAUCAGUCAAAUCACUACGCAUCUGAAUUACCCAUAGUCAAUUUCUAGGUUUUUCAUUUCAGCUGCAUAACCAAUGGAUGAAUGGGUGAUCUAAGAGAUGUCAGUGGCUAUGGUUUUCAUUUCUAGGGUUUAUUGGCUUGAAUUUGCUUUUUAUUAACAAGUUUGUUAGAUUUAUUUUGAUUAUCAUGGUUCUUAUUUUAUUUUUUUCAGGUGUGUUUUAUAACUGAGUUAUGUAUAUUUUGCUCAAUGGGUAAUGCAGGUAAAAUGAGGUUAGCCCAUCUGAAAUGAAGAAAUGAACAACAUUAAGAGCAUACGGAACAUGUUGAAUUUGUAGGGUCCAUGGGUCCGUUAGCCUGGGGCUAUAUAUCCAUUUUCUCUGUUACUCAUUUUGCAGGUGGAGUUCAACAUUUUCAUAAAUAAUUAAGGCCCCGUUUGACCCAAUUUUUUUCUUGAAUUCUUUAGUUAAUUUGAUUUUUGAGGUUUGGUUAUCUCUAGUAAUUUUUUUUAAUCGUUUGAUCGAAUUUUUAUAUUUUUUUGAUUCUUUUUAAUGAGAAGAGUCUGAAAAUAUAAAAAUAUUCAUCUAAUUUGGAAAGAUGUUCACUAAAGAAAAAAAAAUAACACUUUUUACUCAACAAAUUAGUUAAAUUUUUAUUUCUUAAUGCAUUUUCAGUUCCAAAUUUGAACAAUCUUUUUUCAUUUUGAGAUUUUCUCAUCAACAAGAAAAGAAAAAGCAUAAUUUUUUUAUUAAACAGAGAAAAAA
rnacentral:lncRNA from 1 species